rnacentral:rRNA from 1 species
UUUUUUCGGAGCGCGGCUAUCUGCAGUCGAGCGAACAGACGAGGAGCUUGCUCCUCUGACGUUAGCGGCGGACGGGUGAGUAACACGUGGAUAACCUACCUAUAAGACUGGGAUAACUUCGGGAAACCGGAGCUAAUACCGGAUAAAAUAUUGAACCGCAUGGUUCAAUAGUGAAAGACGGUUUUGCUGUCACUUAUAGAUGGAUCCGCGCCGCAUUAGCUAGUUGGUAAGGUAACGGCUUACCAAGGCAACGAUGCGUAGCCGACCUGAGAGGGUGAUCGGCCACACUGGAACUGAGACACGGUCCAGACUCCUACGGGAGGCAGCAGUAGGGAAUCUUCCGCAAUGGGCGAAAGCCUGACGGAGCAACGCCGCGUGAGUGAUGAAGGUCUUCGGAUCGUAAAACUCUGUUAUUAGGGAAGAACAAAUGUGUAAGUAACUAUGCACGUCUUGACGGUACCUAAUCAGAAAGCCACGGCUAACUACGUGCCAGCAGCCGCGGUAAUACGUAGGUGGCAAGCGUUAUCCGGAAUUAUUGGGCGUAAAGCGCGCGUAGGCGGUUUUUUAAGUCUGAUGUGAAAGCCCACGGCUCAACCGUGGAGGGUCAUUGGAAACUGGAAAACUUGAGUGCAGAAGAGGAAAGUGGAAUUCCAUGUGUAGCGGUGAAAUGCGCAGAGAUAUGGAGGAACACCAGUGGCGAAGGCGACUUUCUGGUCUGUAACUGACGCUGAUGUGCGAAAGCGUGGGGAUCAAACAGGAUUAGAUACCCUGGUAGUCCACGCCGUAAACGAUGAGUGCUAAGUGUUAGGGGGUUUCCGCCCCUUAGUGCUGCAGCUAACGCAUUAAGCACUCCGCCU